rnacentral:rRNA from 1 species
GUGGGGAAUUUUGGACAAUGGGCGCAAGCCUGAUCCAGCAAUGCCGCGUGCAGGAAGAAGGCCUUCGGGUUGUAAACUGCUUUUGUACGGAACGAAACGGUCCUGGUUAAUACCCGGGGGUCAUGACGGUACCGUAAGAAUAAGCACCGGCUAACUACGUGCCAGCAGCCGCGGUAAUACGUAGGGUGCGAGCGUUAAUCGGAAUUACUGGGCGUAAAGCGUGCGCAGGCGGUUUUGUAAGACAGAGGUGAAAUCCCCGGGCUCAACCUGGGAACUGCCUUUGUGACGGCAAGGCUAGAGUACGGCAGAGGGGGAUGGAAUUCCGCGUGUAGCAGUGAAAUGCGUAGAUAUGCGGAGGAACACCGAUGGCGAAGGCAAUCCCCUGGGCCUGUACUGACGCUCAUGCACGAAAGCGUGGGGAGCAAACAGGAUUAGAAACCCGUGUAGUCC